AUGGGCUCGAUGGAGCUGUCCACCGCGCCGGAGAACGGCACCGCGGCGGCCGCCGCGGCGUGCAACGGCGGGGCCGCCCCGGCGAACGGAGGGGUCGAGAGGAGGCUGAGAUCCUCAGCCGCGUCCGCGUCCUGGGCGGCGCAUCUGCCGCUGGAAGUGGGGACGCGCGUGAUGUGCCGGUGGCGCGACCAGAAGCCCCACCCCGUCAAGGUCAUCGAGCGCCGGAAGUCCGCCGCCUCCUCCUCCCCCGCCGACUACGAGUACUACGUCCAUUACACCGAGUUUAACAGGAGGUUGGAUGAGUGGGUUAAACUUGAGCAACUUGAUCUUGAUACCGUCGAGGCUGAUGUUGACGAGAAGGUAGACGAUAAGGCAACAAGUUUGAAGAUGACACGACACCAGAAACGUAAAAUCGACGAAACACACGUGGAGCAAGGUCACGAGGAGCUUGAUGCUGCUAGUUUGCGGGAGCAUGAGGAGUUCACAAAGGUGAAAAAUAUAGCGAAGAUAGAACUUGGGAAAUAUGAGAUAGAUACCUGGUAUUUCUCUCCUUUCCCACCAGAGUACAAUGACUCUGCGAAGCUGUUCUUCUGUGAGUUUUGCCUGAACUUCAUGAAGCGCAAAGAACAGCUUCAGAGGCACAUGAAGAAGUGUGAUCUUAAGCAUCCCCCGGGUGAUGAAAUCUACAGAUGUGGAACUCUAUCGAUGUUUGAGGUUGAUGGCAAGAAGAAUAAGGUUUAUGGGCAGAACCUUUGCUAUCUGGCCAAGCUAUUCCUUGAUCACAAAACACUCUACUACGAUGUGGAUUUGUUCUUGUUCUAUAUCCUGUGUGAAUGUGAUGAUCGGGGAUGCCAUAUGGUGGGAUAUUUCUCCAAGGAGAAGCACUCUGAGGAAGCUUAUAAUUUGGCCUGCAUUCUCACUCUCCCUCCAUACCAAAGAAAGGGUUACGGAAAGUUCCUGAUUGCUUUCUCUUAUGAGCUUUCUAAAAAGGAAGGUAAAGUGGGAACACCGGAGCGUCCUCUCUCAGAUCUUGGUCUGCUCAGUUAUAGAGGCUAUUGGACUAGAGUACUUCUGGAAAUUCUGAAGAAACAUAAGAGCAACAUAUCUAUUAAGGAGCUGAGCGACAUGACGGCAAUCAAAGCGGACGACAUCUUGAGCACGCUGCAGAGCCUGGACCUGAUCCAGUACCGGAAAGGGCAGCACGUCAUCUGCGCAGACCCAAAGGUCCUCGACCGCCACCUCAAGGCCGCGGGGCGGGGGGGCCUCGACGUCGACGUGAGCAAGCUGAUCUGGACACCGUACAAAGAGCAAGGCUAA
rnacentral:rRNA from 1 species